GGAAAAAGGACAGUUUGCAACCACAGCUGUAACAAUUUAGAACACUAGCAAAAUAGAGAGAGUUUUGAGAGGAAUUCUUGUUUGCAAAUUACUCUUACCCUUCAGCAGAUUUGAGAAAUGGAGAUUGGAUUAGCAGUUGGUGGUGCAUUUCUCUCGUCAGCUUUGAAUGUUCUGUUUGAUAGGCUUGCUCCUAACGGUGAUCUGCUCAACAUGUUUCGGAAGCAUAAGGAUCAUGUUAAGCUCUUAAAGAAGCUGGAGGACAUUUUGCUUGGUCUUCAGAUUGUGCUAAGUGAUGCAGAGAAUAAGCAAGCAUCAAAUCGACACGUCAGCCAGUGGUUUAAUAAGCUUCAGAUUGCUGUGGAUGGCGCUGAAAACUUGAUAGAACAAGUCAAUUACGAAGCUUUGAGGCUUAAGGUGGAAGGCCAACAUCAAAAUCUUGCAGAAACAAGCAAUCAA
rnacentral:misc_RNA from 1 species